GGGUAUAGCGUAAUAAGGUAACGUGUUUGCUUUGGGUGUAAAAGAUUACAGGUUCGAGUCCUGUUGCCCUAA
rnacentral:tRNA from 1 species